UGAGAAGUAGCAUAAGUAAAUGUGACCUUUUUACGCUUGGUUAAUAGUAAAUAUUACUCUUUUCAU
rnacentral:tRNA from 1 species